GAGCGAUAAAUCAGAAUUGUGUUGGAAAUGGAGCACUUGUAUUUCGAGGAGAUACAACCGCUGCAUUCUGUGUGCCUCCACCGGGAAAUGUAAAGCGAUGUGUCAUUCUCAUCCUGGGUGAAUCGGAAGGGUUCGUUUGUCCACAGAAAGGCUACAUCAAUGGGUUUCUCCGUGAAGGAGGACAGAGACGGGUCAUUUGCUGUUCUGUAUUCGGAGCUUCUUACAAUGAUAAUGAAUGUGGUGAAUGGCUCAGAAUCCGGGAAAGGUUUCCAUCCCCUUUCGGUC